rnacentral:rRNA from 1 species
UACGUAGGGCGCAAGCGUUAUCCGGAAUUAUUGGGCGUAAAGAGCUCGUAGGCGGUUUGUCGCGUCUGCCGUGAAAGUCCGGGGCUCAACUCCGGAUCUGCGGUGGGUACGGGCAGACUAGAGUGCAGUAGGGGAGACUGGAAUUCCUGGUGUAGCGGUGAAAUGCGCAGAUAUCAGGAGGAACACCAGCAGCGAAGGCGGUGGUCUGGGCCGACAUUGACGCUGAGGAGCGAAAGCGUGGGGAGCGAACAGG